AGAAAACAGCAGUGGAUGGGAAACGACAAGAGAUUAUUGUCCUGGACUCCAAACGGAGCAAUGCCAUCAACAUCGGGCUGACCGUCCUCCCCCUCCCCGCACCAUCAAGACAGCCAUCCUCAACUUUGACGAGUACGCUUUGAACAAGGAGGGGAUCGAGAAAAUCCUGACGAUGAUCCCCACGGAGGAGGAGAAGCAGAGGAUCCAGGAUGCUCAGCUGGUGAACCCUGACGUCCCCCUGGGAUCAGCAGAGCAGUUCCUCCUCACCCUGUCCUCCAUCACGGAGCUGUCCGCCCGGCUGCAGCUCUGGGCCUUCAAGAUGGACUACGAGGUCACGGAGAAGGAAGUGCCGAGGAGCCUCUGCAGGACCUUAAGGA